AAUAGCAUCCCAGGGAAACCAGUGGCCCUGACUUGGAAAGCAAACCUCUCUGCAGCCACGGGACCCCCAACAGCAGCCUCACAGAGCCUGCCCCGGCCACCCUAGUCUGGGCUAACUGUCCUGCCUUCUCCUCCAAGAUUCCCUUGCCUGGGUCCCUCCUCCCUCAGCCUCACCGCACUCCUCUGGGGACCCUGUGCUUGGACUCCACCCUUUCCUGUCCAGACCACUGGCCUUUAGUCACCUCCUAGAGAAGCAAGAUUUUCAGCCCUGGCUUUCUACCCCCACACCCUACAGCCGGCCAGGGGACAGGGUUGUGUUCACACAGUGCUAAGGGAACACGCUGACGUGUGUGACAUCAAGAACUCCAGUGCCCACACAGCCCGAGUCCGGAUGGGACGUUUGAAAUCAGCAAGGAGUGUGGGUUGGAUCCACGUUUCUGUUCAUACCAGGCAGGCACAUCGGAAGGCUCACGGUCAGAGGAUGCUGGGACAAACGCCACGAGAGGUUCCUUUUUGUCUGGCUCACCCAGAAGAGAGGCUCCUCUCCUCCCUUCCCUGCAGCACAACGGCCUGGCUGGCACCCAAAGGGCAGCCGGCAUGGGCUGACCUCAGAGGAGCAAGGCGUGUUUGCAGCUCUGCCGCUCACAUCCACAGUGGCCAUGACAACAGGUGCAGCACCAUCCAUUAAAGCUCUGUGUCAUUUCACUUAAUUCUCACAACGACCCCCGGAGAAAGGGACUACUAUCCCCAUUUUCCAGAUGAAAAAGGAAAUUGGUCCUUAGAGUGAUCAUCCGCCCAAGGCUAGUGACAGGGCUCAGAUGAGAACCCAAGGCCCUCCAAGAUCUCAAGUCACAGACAAAGAAAGCCCAUCUCUGACUUGGCAGGGGAAGGGGGAGGUCACACUGGGAGAGCUGGAUGUUGAUUCUGAAGGCCUCCCCCAGUAAACCGCUCCAACAACAAAAAGGGGCUUUCUGUACAUUAUCUGUGAAAAGCCAAGUGAGGGGGAGGGAGGGGAAAGCAAUCAAAGCAAAGAUCAAUUGUGUUGCAGACAAUGUGGCAAGAAGACAGAUCUUGCUGGAAAUUCCUUCUGACUGGACUCUGCCAGGAUCAGAGUAUUUUUCAUUCCAAGAUUAAGCAAAAUUCUUUCCCUGUCAUAACCUCCUACCCAUCUAUGUCCAAACUCCCACUAUCAUUUUUAUACCGUGCACAUUUUAAAACCUGUUUUGCAGCUUUUUCUCUGUGCGUGUUAGUUGACGCUAACCUGCCUCCAGCUUUAAGAAGAACAGAGAAGCACGAGAGGCCCCAGGAGGCACCUGGGCUGGGUGAGCCUCAGGCUGGGACCCUGGCAGGACAGUGGCUGGGGUCUAGGGCAGCUGGGACCCUGCUUGCUGGCAGGGGCAGCUGCAGCCGUGAAGCUCAGAGACCCCACGGCCUGGCCUGGACAGAAAUGGAAAAUAGAUGGGAGAAGAGAAUGGGAAUUUCUUAAUAAGGGAUUGGAUUUGGGAAGUGAAGGGCGAGCAGAAACUAGGAUUGUGAGGUCUCCUGGUUGGGGUGGCUGUGUGGUGGUGCCAUGUCGGUGGGAGAGAGAAGCCAGUCACUGGGUGGUGGAAAUGGUGGUGAAGAGGUGUUUGGUGGAUGGGAGGAAGCAGGGUAGGGUCCAAGCCUGUUCAAUGAGAGGGGUCAACAGCACACACAAGGGAAGGAGCCCAGUCUGGAGUAACGGAUUUGUGGGAGAGAAGUCUCCCGUUGGAGGGGGGAGACUGAAGCCAUGGGAAUGGGUGAGUUCCACCCAGAGACAGACCCAGGAAGAGAGCCCAGGAAGAGAAGGAAGCCAAGGGCAGGGUUCCAGGGGCUGCUGACUUUCAGGGCAAGCCAGCAAAGAAGAUUGGGAACCAAACAGUUAGGAACAUAAGAGGGACCGGAGAUGUAGCAUCAUGGAAACCAUGGCAACAAGAGCAGGCAGCAGCACUGAACGUCACCAGCGGAGACUGCCGUGAGAUGGAACCAAAGUCCUUGACUUGGCAACAGGGACUUCUCAGAACAGUUUCAGUGGCCUGUAUGGGUGUUAGGAGGGGAGGAAGGAGCCAAGUGACCCGGGAAAGUAUUUUUUGUGCAUUUUCCUACUGACUUCUUAGCCUUGGGAAACAGGAGCUGUUGCCACUUGUGUUUUACCAAGGAGGAGGUGGAGGCUGGUGGGGAUCAAGUAACUUGCAGCAGGUCACAUGCUGGGAAGGGAGGGCUGGGCCUCCAACCCCAUCUGCCCAUCGUCAAGGUGCACGGCCUUCUUAGGAGGAAGGGAGGCAUCGCUGCGUAGGAGGAGGCCUUUGCAGAUGUUAGUUGGAGAGAGAAGGCCAAGAACAUCCACCGUGGGGUGGGAGAUGAGAUGCUCCACCGAGCAGGCUGAGGGCCCAGCCAUGGCUGGAAACCCAGCCCCUUGGCAAGGUUGACACUGCCAUUGUCCCACCAUCCUUGGCAGGGAUGACUGAGUGGCUACAGCCUCCCAGAGGGCCCAAGUCUUCCGGACGCUGCAUCUCUCUCUCGCUGUACAGCUCAGCUGGGUGAUGGCGGCUGCUCAUGAUGAGUCAGGGCAUCACGGGGACUCUGCACAAGAUGCUAACCGAGCUCUGCCUCUUGGGCCUGCGAAGCUGACUACGAACCACGUCUUUAGCACAAAUGUGGCCAGUUCAGUACAAACUUGUCCCAGAUGGAAAGAUGGGCUCAAAACGCAACCUUUCUGACAACAGAUGGCCUUCCAGCGGGCUGGGGCUGUGCGCAUGUGUCUCUGCCUGACAAUGGUCCCUGUGAAGCCAGACUUCCUUGGGGGGGGCCAAUGCCUUUCAUUCUCAGGGGGAGCGGAGGAGCCUGGAGGAGCCAGGGUGGGCUUCUGCAGCACCCUUAGCAUGAGGGAGGCACAUGCAACACCCAGGUGCCCAGAGGCCCUCACAGCCCAGAAGGAGCGAGUGAGUGAGGCUCCUGCAUGUGGAACGAAGCUCAGCACCGCACUGGACACAACCAAAUGGCCAGUGAGGGCCUCGGAUUUCAAUCAGACCGUCAGAGGCACCCAGUGCUGGAAGGCCAAGUGUGGAAGAGAGUGGCUAGCAGUGGGUGGUGACAGCUGAGCUUUGGGAGAAAGUGCUGGGGAGAGGGCACCCCAGAAUCACUUUGGAAAGCAGGGAGCAUCGUGCUGGGUGGAACACGCUGUAGAGAUGUCUCCAACAGGCCUCGAGGCUGGCCUGGCCCCUGCAGCCUCAUUUUUUCCUGGUGUUUGCUGCUCUCCAGGCAGUACUCUUCCCCCCCCGCGCUCUCCCUGUGAGUGAGGAGUGGCCUCUAAGGGCCCUUCCCUGGCCUGUCUGGCUCCCAUCACUUCAAACACUGGCCCGCGAGCCCAGUACUUGCACAUUUGGAAAUGUAAGUGCCCAGAAUAAACCUGCAGAGACGCUAUUCAAACAGCAAGGCCGAAAUCAACAGAUUCAACUUGAAAUGUAAAACGCCAAAAGCAAAUGUCUAAGCAGCUUUAUUUGUUCUGGAAAUAUUGCUGCAGUGGUUUGACCGGCAAAAUCAAGUGUCCUGUUAAUAGUGAACAGGCUCCUGGCUAACACGGUGAAACCUCGUCUCUACUAAAAAUACAAAAACUUAGCCGGGAGUGGUGGCAUGUGCCUGUAGUCCCUGCUACUCAGGAGGCUGAGGCAGGAGAAUAGUUUGAACCUGGGAGGCGGAGGUUGCAGUGAGCCGAGAUCACGCCACUGAACUGUAGCCUGGGUGACAGAGCGAGACUCCGUCUCAAAAAAAAAAAAAAAAUAGUGAACAGGCAAGCAGGAUGGGCAGGGGGCAUAGGAGGGCUGUUCUGCUGAAGCUGGGUGGUCCAACUUCCAGCUGGUGCAGUACUGCCUCCUGCAGAGAUGUCCUAUCCUGGGAGCUCACACAGGAAAGGAGAGGCUGUGAGUCCUGGGCCCAUCCCCACCCUCGCCUGGCUGAACCAUCCCUGGGCAGCGGCGCUGACGGGUACAGGGAGGCAGAGGCUUCAGUGGCCCAAGAGGUAGUUGGACAUGUCCCCGGAGUCUUUCCACUCCUUGCCAACCCAGGGUCCUUGCCAGGAACUCAUCUCCAAAGCCGCAGCUCUGCCCCUCCUAAUUAGCAACCACACGCACACCCAGUUACAUGCUGAAGUGAUUUACAGCAUUUUAUGGUCUGUGAUUUAGCACACCUAGACUUGACUAUCUCUAUUCUAAUUAAAUUAACAAAAAAUUAAGAGUGACAAAAUGGCAAAGAUUGAUUUAUCUAACGUGUGUCCUUGCUGCUUUGAUAGGUACAAAUUUCUUUUAAUUUUGAAUAACAAAAAGGGAAAUAUCAAGCACUUGAUCUACUUGUUCGCCAAAAAAUUAGCCACGGAUUCACAAAAGGCCCUCCACGGCCCACACAUCGACUCAUAUCGAUCAUCACACACAGUAUAGGGCCCACAGGGCAGUGGACAUGAAGAAGCUACCCAGGCACUCAGGAUUAGCGUCCAGGUGAGGUCUGCAGCCUUAGGGGGCCCUGGCCAGCUUGCUCCCCUUUCCUGCACCAGGCCAGCUGCCCCGGAAAGUUGGACUGGAACCAAGCCACUGAGCCACCGUGAAGCUGCGGCCACUUUCAAACCUCUGGCAGAAGCAGUAAGUACAAAUUGUGCUGCAGGUGGUGCUUUCAGAAUGGAGCCAACAGCCAUCUUUCGCUCCAUUCCCCCUUUUCCCACAUCCCUGGCACAGAAGCCUUCCCGUGGUAUUUCCUGCAAGAGAAGCCACAGCUUUCCCCUGCCACCUUUUCUUUCCCAGGGUGGAUCUAGCACUGGGAGUUGGAGCAGGGCGUGGCAGCCCAGUCCCGUCCUGUGUUUCAGUGGGAAGGGAGUUCCAUGCCCUUCUUUGCUCCAUUACAUGUAUGGGGCUCUGUGGUCACCUUUGGACUCUGCUCCCACUAUACCGGAAAAAUGGGGGCAGAUUCUCUGUUCUUCUCUGCACACACGCACCGAGGGUGUCAUUGGCACAUGGUGGGGACUCAAGAAUCCUCCACGAUCAUCAUCCUCAUCACCCUCAUCCUCCUUAUCAAAAUUAUCAUCAUCUCCAUCAUCCUCAUCCUCCUCCUCAUCAUCAUUAUCAUCUUCAACAACAUCAGCAGCACCAGCACCACCAUCACCAUCACCAUCAUCUUGUUCGACAGCAUCGACAGUAGCAGCAGCACCACUACCGUGACCAUGAUCACCACCAUCACCUCACCCCCAUCAUCCUGAGCUAGCACUUACAUGGAGCUCACUCUGUGCCAUAUGUUGUUCUAAGUGCCUUAUAUGUCGUAACGCAUUUUAAUGCUCUCAACAACCCUAUGAAGUAGAUAUCCUACGCCCAUUUUUACAGAUCAGAAGACUGAGGCACACAGAAGUUAACCUAACUUGUCCAAGGUUAGUUACUGGGCAGACAGCACCAGGGUUUUAACUGGUUUGAAUCUAACUGGCACCAGAGUCUGUAUUCCAGAUUGCUAUACUACACAUGUUAGAUGAGUGAGAAGGAGUAAAUGAAUAAUUAGGCGUCUGAGUAAGUGCACGGAGAAAUGUUCAGUGGGUGUCAAGGAGCCUUAGGGAAUAUAAAAUGCUUUUCUCACUAUUUAUAUUUGGCAACAAUGUCCGUCCUGGCCCUCCUUCUUCCUUUUCUGUGGCAAAGAUCUUAGUGUGUUGAUGGCGUAGGAAGCCCUGCAGGGUUAGGACCCACACUCUCCAUGUUGUGUCAGUGUACAAUUUCCAGGCAAGCAUGCCCUUGAUUUUUAUGAUCAUGUGAUUAUCUUACUUCUUCCCACAUAGAACGCUAAGCUCCACACAAGCAUGGAGAUGGUCUGGUUUUGUUCAUCAUUAUAUUCCCAGUGUUUAGCACAGUGCCUGGCACAUACUAGUUGCUCAGUAAAUAGAUACUGGUUGUAUAAAUAAAUGAACUCAUUGGCAAAAGGAAAGCAUUUUCUCAAAAUUUCCUAGACUCAACCUUUGAAGCUAUAGGAAUAUCUAUCUAUCUAUCUAUCUAUCUAUCUAUCUAUCUAUCUAUCUAUCAUCUAGGAAGCAAGUAUCUAUCUAGGCUAAGAAAUCACUGCAACAAAGAGGCAUGUGCUUAAUGUUUUAUGUCAAAUAUUGUUGUCCUUUUAUUCUUUUGCCUGCAGGAGGGCUCAUCAAUGUAUGGAGAAAUGAAAGAGCGCCGCAUUUCACAUUGGAGGGAUCUGGGUUUGAGUCCUUGGGCCAGCCUUGCUACAGUGGGGGCAAGAACACCAAUCACACUGGCUUAUCAUGGAAUUCAAAUGUGGCAGAGUAUGUAAACUAUGAAGUGUAGAAUAAAUUAAUUGGCUUGCCAAUUCCC